rnacentral:lncRNA from 1 species
GGGGGCUCCUGGGUAUAAAUCAAAUUUUUUUUCUAAUAUAGGAUUUCGCUAUAUUUUCUUAUAAAUGAACUUUAUCAUAUACUUAAAAGAAAAAUGAAAUAAAAAAAUGAGGUCACCGUUUAUUUAAGCUCACAAUCUGCCUCCAAAAGGAGCAUACAUUUUUGUUAAUGUCCUUUUUUCUGUUGAGCUAAUAGGAGAAAAAGAGUUAUUACAUUGGUUGCAAUGAAU